ensembl:lncRNA
GCCAUUUAGUGUUUGAAGUGUUACAGGCCAAAAUAGAAAAAAAUAGUAAGAGCAUAUUGGUAACUUUGACCGGUUAAGCAAAAAGACAGGAAAGUCAUUGGCUAGCCUUGUUAGGUGCUGACUACGACUGUAGAUGAGCCAUUAAGUGUUUGAAGUGUUACAGGCCAAAAUAGAAAAAAAUAGUAAGAGCAUAUUGGUAACUUUGACCGGUUAAGCAAAAAAGGCAGGAAAGUCAUUGGCUAGCCUUGUUAGGUGCUGACUAAGACUGUAGAUGAGCCAUUAAGUGUUUGAAGUGUUACAGGCCAAAAUAGAAAAGAAUAGAACUUUUUUUUUUUUACUGAUUUUGUUCACCAAAAUAUAUGCAUAAAUACUUUUUUUUUUUUUUUUUUUAAACUGAUUUUGUUUAUCAAUAUACAUGCAUUAAUACUUUUUUUUUAACUGAUUUAAGUGUUACAGGCCAAAAUAGAAAAAAAUAGUAAGAGCAUGUUGGUAACUUUGACCGGUUAAGCAAAAAAGGCAGGAAAGUCAUUGGCUAGCCUUGUUAGGUACUGACUAAGACUGUAGAUGAGCCAUUAAGUGUUUGAAGUGUUACAGGCCAAAAUAGAAAAAAAUUGUACUUUUUUUUUUUUUUUACUGACUUUGUUUAUCAAUAUACAUGCAUAAAUACUUUUUUUUUUUUAACUGAUUUUGUUUAUCAAUAUACAUGCAUAAAUACUUUUUUUUUUUUUAACUGAUUUUGUUCAUCAAUAUACAUGCAUAAAUACUUUCUUUUUUUUUUUUAACUGAUUUUGUUCAUCAAUUUACAUGCAUAAAUACUUUUUUUUUUUUUUUAAACUGAUUUUGUUCAUCAAUAUACAUGCAUUAAUACUUUUUUUUUUAACUGAUUUAAGUGUUACAGGCCAAAAGAGAAAAAGAUUGUAUGAGCAUAUUGGUAACCUCGACCGGUUAAGCAAAAAAGCCAGGAAAGUCAUUGGCGAGACUUGUUAGGUGCUGACUAAGACUGUAGAUGAGCCAUUAAGUGCUUGAAGUGUUACAGGCCAAAAGAAAAAAAUAAUGUAUGAGCAUAUUGGUAACCUCGACCGGUUAAGCAAAAAAGGCAGGAAAGUCAUUGGCUAGCCUUGUUAGGUGCUGACUACGACUGUAGAUGAGCCAUUAAGUGUUUGAAGUGUUACAGGCCAAAAUAGAAAAAAUAGUAAGAGCAUAUUGGUAACCUCGACCGGUUAAGCAAAAAAGGCAGGAAAGUCAUUGGCUAGCCUUGUUAGGUGCUGACUAAGACUGUAGAUGAGCCAUUAAGUGUUUGAAGUGUUACAGGCCAAAAUAGAAAAGAAUAGUACUUUUUUUUUUUUUAACUGAUUUUGUUUAUCAAUAUACAUGCAUAAAUACUUUUUUUUUUUUUUUAAACUGAUUUUGUUUAUCAAUAUACAUGCAUUAAUACUUUUUUUUUUAACUGAUUUAAGUGUUACAGGCCAAAAGAGAAAAAGAUUGUAUGAGCCAAUGUAACCUCGACCGGUUAAGCAAAAAAGGCAGGAAAGUCAUUGGCUAGCCUUGUUAGGUGCUGACUAAGACUGUAGAUGAGCCAUUAAGUGUUUGAAGUGUUACAGGCCAAAAUAGAAAAAAAUUGUAUGAGCAUAUUGGUAACCUCGACCGGUUAAGCAAAAAAGGCAGGAAAGUCAUUGGCUAGCCUUGUUAGGUGCCGACUAAGACUGUAGAUGAGCCAUUAAGUGUUUGAAGUGUUACAGGCCAAAAUAGAAAAAAAUAGUACUUUUUUUUUUUUUUUACUGAUUUUGUUUAUUAAUACACAUGCAUAAAUACUUUUUUUUUUUUUUUUUUUUACUGAUUUAAGUGUUACAGGCCAAAAGAGAAAAAAUUUGUAUGAGCAUAUUGGUAACCUCGACCGGUUAAGCAAAAAGGCAGGAAAGUCAUUGGCUAGCCUUGUUAGGUGCUGACUACGACUGUAGAUGAGCCAUUAAGUGUUUGAAGUGUUACAGGCCAAAAUAGAAAAAAAUAGUAAGAGCAUAUUGGUAACUUUGACCGGUUAAGCAAAAAAGGCAGGAAAGUCAUUGGCUAGCCUUGUUAGGUGCUGACUAAGACUGUAGAUGAGCCAUUAAGUGUUUGAAGUGUUACAGGCCAAAAUAGAAAAGAAUAGUACUUUUUUUUUUUUACUGAUUUUGUUCACCAAAAUAUAUGCAUAAAUACUUUUUUUUUUUUUUUUUUUAACUGAUUUUGUUUAUCAAUAUACAUGCAUUAAUACUUUUUUUUUAACUGAUUUAAGUGUUACAGGCCAAAAUAGAAAAAAAUAGUAAGAGCAUGUUGGUAACUUUGACCGGUUAAGCAAAAAAGGCAGGAAAGUCAUUGGCUAGCCUUGUUAGGUACUGACUAAGACUGUAGAUGAGCCAUUAAGUGUUUGAAGUGUUACAGGCCAAAAUAGAAAAAAAAUUGUACUUUUUUUUUUUUUUUACUGACUUUGUUUAUCAAUAUACAUGCAUAAAUACUUUUUUUUUUUUUAACUGAUUUUGUUUAUCAAUAUACAUGCAUUAAUACUUUUUUUUUUUUUUAACUGAUUUUGUUCAUCAAUAUACAUGCAUAAAUACUUUCUUUUUUUUUUUUUUAACUGAUUUUGUUCAUCAAUUUACAUGCAUAAAUACUUUUUUUUUUUUUUAAACUGAUUUUGUUCAUCAAUAUACAUGCAUUAAUACUUUUUUUUUUAACUGAUUUAAGUGUUACAGGCCAAAAGAGAAAAAGAUUGUAUGAGCAUAUUGGUAACCUCGACCGGUUAAGCAAAAAAGCCAGGAAAGUCAUUGGCGAGACUUGUUAGGUGCUGACUAAGACUGUAGAUGAGCCAUUAAGUGCUUGAAGUGUUACAGGCCAAAAGAAAAAAAUAAUGUAUGAGCAUAUUGGUAACCUCGACCGGUUAAGCAAAAAAGGCAGGAAAGUCAUUGGCUAGCCUUGUUAGGUGCUGACUACGACUGUAGAUGAGCCAUUAAGUGUUUGAAGUGUUACAGGCCAAAAUAGAAAAAAAUAGUAAGAGCAUAUUGGUAACCUCGACCGGUUAAGCAAAAAAGGCAGGAAAGUCAUUGGCUAGCCUUGUUAGGUGCUGACUAAGACUGUAGAUGAGCCAUUGAGUGUUUGAAGUGUUACAGGCCAAAAUAGAAAAGAAUAGUACUUUUUUUUUUUUUUAACUGAUUUUGUUUAUCAAUAUACAUGCAUAAAUACUUUUUUUUUUUUUUUAACUGAUUUUGUUCAUCAAUAUACAUGCAUAAAUACUUUUUUUUUUUUUUUUUUAACUGAUUUUGUUCAUCAAUAUACAUGCAUAAAUACUUUUUUUUUAACUGAUUUAAGUGUUACAGGCCAAAAGAGAAAAAGAUUGUAUGAGCCAAUGUAACCUCGACCGGUUAAGCAAAAAAGGCAGGAAAGUCAUUGGCUAGCCUUGUUAGGUACUGACUAAGACUGUAGAUGAGCCAUUAAGUGUUUGAAGUGUUACAGGCCAAAAUAGAAAAAAAUUGUACUUUUUUUUUUUUUUUUUUUUUUACUGAUUUUGUUUAUCAAUAUACAUGCAUAAAUACUUUUUUUUUUUUUUUUAACUGAUUUUGUUUAUCAAUAUACAUGCAUUAAUACUUUUUUUUUUUUAACUGAUUUUGUUCAUCAAUAUACAUGCAUAAAUACUUUUUUUUUUUUUUUUUAACUGAUUUUGUUCAUCAAUUUACAUGCAUGAAUACUUCUUUUUUUUUUUUUAAACUGAUUUUGUUCAUCAAUAUACAUGCAUUAAUACUUUUUUUUUUAACUGAUUUAAGUGUUACAGGCCAAAAGAGAAAAAGAUUGUAUGAGCAUAUUGGUAACCUCGACCGGUUAAGCAAAAAAGCCAGGAAAGUCAUUGGCGAGACUUGUUAGGUGCUGACUAAGACUGUAGAUGAGCCAUUAUUGAUACUGAUUUUGUUUAUCAAUAUAUACAUGCAUUAAUACUUUUUUUUUUUUUAACUGAUUUUGUUCAUCAAUAUACAUGCAUAAAUACUUUUUUUUUUUUUUUUUAACUGAUUUUGUUCAUCAAUUUACAUGCAUGAAUACUUCUUUUUUUUUUUUUAAACUGAUUUUGUUCAUCAAUAUACAUGCAUUAAUACUUUUUUUUUUAACUGAUUUAAGUGUUACAGGCCAAAAGAGAAAAAGAUUGUAUGAGCAUAUUGGUAACCUCGACCGGUUAAGCAAAAAAGCCAGGAAAGUCAUUGGCGAGACUUGUUAGGUGCUGACUAAGACUGUAGAUGAGCCAUUAUUGAUACUGAUUUUGUUUAUCAAUAUACAUGCAUUAAUACUUUUUUUUUUUUUAACUGAUUUUGUUCAUCAAUAUACAUGCAUAAAUACUUUUUUUUUUUUUUUUUAACUGAUUUUGUUCAUCAAUUUACAUGCAUGAAUACUUCUUUUUUUUUUUUUAAACUGAUUUUGUUCAUCAAUAUACAUGCAUUAAUACUUUUUUUUUUAACUGAUUUAAGUGUUACAGGCCAAAAGAGAAAAAGAUUGUAUGAGCAUAUUGGUAACCUCGACCGGUUAAGCAAAAAAGCCAGGAAAGUCAUUGGCGAGACUUGUUAGGUGCUGACUAAGACUGUAGAUGAGCCAUUAAGUGCUUGAAGUGUUACAGGCCAAAAUAAAAAAAUAAUGUAUGAGCAUAUUGGUAACCUCGACCGGUUAAGCAAAAAAGGCAGGAAAGUCAUUGGCUAGCCUUGUUAGGUGCUGACUAAGACUAAGACUAAGAUGAGCCAUUUAGUGUUUGAAGUGUUACAGGCCAAAAUAGAAAAAAAUAGUAAGAGCAUAUUGGUAACUUUGACCGGUUAAGCAAAAAGACAGGAAAGUCAUUGGCUAGCCUUGUUAGGUGCUGACUACGACUGCAGAUGAGCCAUUAAGUGUUUGAAGUGUUACAGGCCAAAAUAGAAAAAAAUAGUAAGAGCAUAUUGGUAACCUCGACCGGUUAAGCAAAAAAGGCAGGAAAGUCAUUGGCUAGCCUUGUUAGGUGCUGACUAAGACUGUAGAUGAGCCAUUAAGUGUUUGAAGUGUUACAGGCCAAAAUAGAAAAGAAUAGUACUUUUUUUUUUUUUAACUGAUUUUGUUUAUCAAUAUACAUGCAUAAAUACUUUUUUUUUUUUUUAACUGAUUUUGUUUAUCAAUAUACAUGCAUUAAUACUUUUUUUUUUUUUUUUUUUUUUUUUUACUGAUUUAAGUGUUACAGGCCAAAAGAGAAAACAUUUGUAUGAGCAUAUUGGUAACCUCGACCGGUUAAGCAAAAAAGGCAGGAAAGUCAUUGGCGAGACUUGUUAGGUGCUGACUAAGACUGUAGAUGAGCCAUUAAGUGUUUGAAGUGUUACAGGCCAAAAUAAAAAAAAAAUUUACUUUUUUUUUUUUUAACUGAUUUUGUUUAUCAAUAUACAUGCAUAAAUACUUUUUUUUUUUUUAACUGAUUUUGUUUAUCAAUAUACAUGCAUUAAUACUUUUUUUUUUUUUUUUUUUUUUUUUACUGAUUUAAGUGUUACAGGCCAAAAGAGAAAACAUUUGUAUGAGCAUAUUGGUAACCUCGACCGGUUAAGCAAAAAAGGCAGGAAAGUCAUUGGCGAGACUUGUUAGGUGCUGACUAAGACUGUAGAUGAGCCAUUAAGUGUUUGAAGUGUUACAGGCCAAAAUAAAAAAAAAAUUGUACUUUUUUUUUUUUUUAAUGAUUUUGUUUGUCAAUAUACAUGCAUAAAUACUUUUUUUUUUUUUUUUUUACUGAUUUUGUUCAUCAAUAUACAUGCAUAAAUAGUAUUUUUUUUUUUUUAACUGAUUUUGUUUAUCAAUAUACAUGCAUUAAUACUUUUUUUUAACUGAUUUAAGUGUUACAGGCCAAAAGAGAAAAAGAUUGUAUGAGCCAAUGUAACCUCGACCGGUUAAGCAAAAAAGGCAGGAAAGUCAUUGGCU